rnacentral:rRNA from 1 species
AACGAACGCUGGCGGCGUGCCUAAUACAUGCAAGUCGAGCGAACCACUUCGGUGGUGAGCGGCGAACGGGUGAGUAACACGUAGGUGAUCUGCCCAUCAGACGGGGACAACGAUUGGAAACGAUCGCUAAUACCGGAUAGGACGAAAGUUUAAAGGUGCUUCUGGCACCGCUGAUGGAUGAGCCUGCGGCGCAUUAGCUAGUUGGUAGGGUAAAGGCCUACCAAGGCGACGAUGCGUAGCCGACCUGGGAGGGUGAACGGCCACACUGGGACUGAGACACGGCCCAGACUCCUACGGGAGGCAGCAGUAGGGAAUCUUCGGCAAUGGGCGAAAGCCUGACCGUGCAACGCCGCGUGAAUGAUGAAGGCCUUCGGGUUGUAAAAUUCUGUUAUAAGGGAAGAACGACUUUAGUAGGAAAUGGCUAGAGUGUGACGGUACCUUAUGAGAAAGCCACGGCUAACUACGUGCCAGCCGCCGCGGUAA